rnacentral:rRNA from 1 species
GAUGAACGCUGGCUACAGGCUUAACACAUGCAAGUCGAGGGGAAACGACGGGGAAGCUUGCUUCCCCGGGCGUCGACCGGCGCACGGGUGAGUAACGCGUAUCCAACCUGCCUCUGACUGAGGGAUAACCCGUCGAAAGUCGGCCUAAUACCUCAUGGCAUCGUCUGCGGGCAUCCAACGACGAUUAAAGAUUUCAUCGGUCAGGGAUGGGGAUGCGUCUGAUUAGCUUGUUGGCGGGGUAACGGCCCACCAAGGCUACGAUCAGUAGGGGUUCUGAGAGGAAGGGCCCCCACAAUGGAACUGGGGCCAGGGCCAAACUCCUACGGGAAGCAGGAGUGAGGGAUAUUGAGCAAAGGGCGGGAGCCUGAAACAGCCAAGGAGGGGGCAAGAAGACGGGCCUAUGGGUUGUAAACUGCUUUUAAGGGGGGAUAAAGUGAGGGACGUGUCCUUCAUUGCAGGUACCGCAUGAAUAAGGACCGGCUAAUUCCGUG